rnacentral:lncRNA from 1 species
UUGGACAGUGGUGUUAAAGUGUGCAUGGCUUUAUGAGUGGGAGCCACAGGACAGGGCAAGACAGAAACAGAAGUGAUGUAACAUUUAAUUGCAAUUACACACUAAGAAAAUGAUCAAACGUAUGAAUACUUUCCAAGAAGUCUCUGCUGCUUCAAAACAGACCUGACCAUGGGAAAACUGCUACAAACUUAUCCAUACACCCAUACAUCAGAGAAAAUUAGGUUGGGAAUGACCUCUUAUGUUAUAUGAAUUUAGUACAUUUUAGAUGAAAUGACCUGAAUCUGAAAGCACUUCAGCAACAAAUAACAUGAUAAAGGAGGUAUCUCCAGCACACCAAGAAGGCCAUAUGGAGGACCUUCUAGCCUGGAAGGACCAUUCAAACUACAGUGAUUCAAUACAAGAUGAUUAAGAUUAUUCAAUAAGUCCCUGUCAAAGAAAAGAUUGCAUUGCCACA